ACCCUUUAUUGUGAUAUCAAGUCGUUUUAAGCCUAGAUUUGUUCCAUUUUUUCAAUUAAGUGUUGGCAUGCCUAGCAAGUUGUGUUAAGCGCCAUCAUAUCCUUUCGUUGGGAAUUUCGGGUCAUGACAGAUACAGAUUGGUUACAGGCCUUGAUACACGAUUUGACAUGUUAAGCCCAGAAGCGACGAGGUCUUCUGCCCAUGAAAGGAUAGCAAUUAGCAAACAAUACAAUGCAUGGGAGCCAAGGACAGGCCCAUAAGAGGGUCAACUUAGCCCGAAAAUACACUAACACCAUUGACAUCUAGACCAAACCUCUAAGCUAUACAAGCAGCUUAGAUAAUAUGCAUAUUCAAGGCUUAUAAGCAUAUUUUCUAGUGCAAAGGACAUUAUAACGGAGUGCGAGAAAAGUAAGAUCUGAACGUGUAUGAUUACUAAUUUCCAAACAAAAAUAAACAAUCACACCUCAAUAAACAACCAUGGCACAUAACUCAUUGCUUUUUAGGAGAAGCCAGAAGGUAGUUAAGUGUAGAUUUGACAUAGGGGAUCCAUAUAGGCAAGUUAUCUAGUGCACAAACAUAGGCUAAAUUUAAAGAUACCAAGGCCAACUGGGCAACAGGUUCCUAUAGACAAGAUUUCUAACAUCAAGAGAUUCGUACAGUUGUUAAUUCAUAGUGAUCAAUGCACAGUCAUACAGAGGUUAGCAUAGAGUUCUUGAGGACUGUGUUCUAUGAAAGAUUACUCAAAACAGGUUGAUCAAAUGCAGAUAAAAUGAAACAUAUUUUCGAUUGAAUAUGAAGAUGCUCAGACAGUACAAGCUGACAUACAUGACCUUAAGAGGUAUGCUCUCUAUGGAAUUCAAAGUAAGAUACUUAGACAAACCAAUCAAGUGCAUAAAAAAAAUCUUGUUAACAUGGUUUCUACUCUUCUAGAACAGGAAUAACAGUAAGAUGGGAUCUCUUACCUUCCUUGAUAAAGAAAAUUACAGAUAAAUCAGAGUAAACAUACUAGGACCCAUACACAUGCUUUCACAACACGAUAUGGGAAUUCCUAAAGACAUGAUUUCUAAGGAGGAGCAAGUAUUAUGUUGUACAGAUGUAUUAUUGAUGAAAAUGAUUAGGUUAUUUAACUAAGGAUUUUCUUAACAUGAACAUGCUUCAAUGCACACUGAGACUUAAUAAUUGAAACAAAACAUAGAAGUCAAGUGACAUAGCAGACAAGGAUUGAAGGUUAACUUACAGACAUGCUACUAUGUUUUAGAAGUUAACAGGGAGCCAUUUUAAUAGUAAGAAGCAAAAGAACUUUCAAGUAAAAAGGUAUGCGAAUACAGGAGAAAGAAUCAUCGUAAUUCUUAUACAUGCCAACUAUUUAGACAACCUUUGAGUCAGAACUAAAACCCAAACAAAAGAUGUCUAUGAACAUGAUUUUUGUGUAGCAAACACACCAACAUAAUUUCACAGAGAAUAAAUGAGGCAUCUAGAGUUACCACACAUAGAGAAUAAAAGGCAUGUAAGAGUACUAACCAGUAUAGAAGAGUAAUGAUAAUAAACAAGAAAACCAGAAAUUUCAUAAUCUGAAAUAAGCAACAUAAAGAUUGCCUCAGUCACCAACGAAACUCUAAGUUCUCCGGUGCUUCAAAGUUCACGAGAGCCUCGUAGGGGCUCCGAGCAAUACUUGUAUCGGAGAAGGUUAAUGAACAAGAUUCUGAAGGGCUUGGGUUUCAGCCAGCCAAACACAAACCAAGAACAAAGAUGAAAUCCAGAAAUACUUCAAGAACUAAUAGAGAAUCUUCUGACAUAACCACAAUAAAUAAGAGAAAUGACAGGGUGUGAGAGUGAGAGAGAUGUGAUUGAUGUCUGCCUCUAACCGUGAUUGUCUGCCUCUAAUUCGAUUUGGAUUCAGUUUGCAUAUGAUUGUCUUAUUUCCUUAGGGAAAAAAUAUGCAAUCACGGUUUUGAAAUAACAAUCGAGAUACGAGACUGACUGAGCAAUCAGUCCAUAAAGGAAGAAAAUAUCCCUUUCAAAUUUACCUAGUCCAGAUUAGGAGUUGAUUCGACUUGAAUCUCGAAAGAUUCUCUUACGAUUUAGCCAAAUACCAUAAAUAAAUCAGUACCUAAGAACGUGUGCCAGAAAUAGUAAAGAAUCGAUUAUUAGAACAAGAAAAGGAAAGGAAAAAUUGAGGGUUCUCAUGUCGACUAGGGUUUUAGGGCAUUAGGGUUAGAUGAGAGAAGAGAGCAGGACAUAAGUGGGAUUAGAGUUAGGGGUGUUAAUGAAGUUUAUAUUUGAAAGGGAAGGGGAGAUUGAAG
rnacentral:lncRNA from 1 species